GAUGAACGCUGGCGGCGUGCCUAAUACAUGCAAGUCGAGCGAACGGACGAGAAGCUUGCUUCUCUGAUGUUAGCGGCGGACGGGUGAGUAACACGUGGAUAACCUACCUAUAAGACUGGGAUAACUUCGGGAAACCGGAGCUAAUACCGGAUAAUAUUUUGAACCGCAUGGUUCAAAAGUGAAAGACGGUCUUGCUGUCACUUAUAGAUGGAUCCGCGCUGCAUUAGCUAGUUGGUAAGGUAACGGCUUACCAAGGCAACGAUGCAUAGCCGACCUGAGAGGGUGCGCGCCCCCACGGGAACUGACACCCGGCCCAGCCCCCCGCGGGAGGCAGCGGUGGGGAUUCUUCCGCAAGGGGCGAAUCCCUGACGGACCCCCGCCGCGUGAGUGAUAAAGGUCUUCGGAUCUUAAACCUCUUUUAUUGGGAAAAAACAUAUGUGAAAGUAUCUGUGCACAUCUUGCCGCUCCCUAAUAAAAAACCCCCGCCUACCUCCGCC
rnacentral:rRNA from 1 species